rnacentral:rRNA from 1 species
CACGUAGGGGGCGAGCGUUGUCCGGAUUUAUUGGGCGUAAAGAGCUCGUAGGCGGCUCAGUAAGUCAGGUGUGAAACCUCCAGGCUCAACCUGGAGACGCCACCUGAUACUGCUGUGGCUAGAGUCCGGUAGGGGAGCGUGGAAUUCCUGGUGUAGCGGUGAAAUGCGCAGAUAUCAGGAGGAACACCAGCGGCGAAGGCGGCGCUCUGGGCCGGAACUGACGCUGAGGAGCGAAAGCGUGGGUAGCAAACAGG